AUUGAACGCUGGCGGCAGGCCUAACACAUGCAAGUCGAACGAGUGGCGGACGUGUGCGUAAUAUCUGGAAACCUGCAUGAUGGCGUGGGAUAACUACUGGAAACGGUAGCUAAUACCGCAUACCAUCGUAUUUGCCCCGAUGGGAUUCGCUAGUUGGUGGGGUAAAGGCUCACCAAGGCUAAGAUACCUCGCUGGUCUGAGAGGAUGACCAGACACACUGGAACUGAGACACGGUCCAGACUCCUACGGGAGGCAGCAGUGGGGAAUAUUGCGCAAUGGGCGAAAGCCUGAUGCAGCCAUGCCGCGUGUAUGAAGAAGGCCUUCGGGUUGUAAAGUACUUUCAGCGGGGAGGCGUUACCCGCAGAAGAAGCACCGGCUAACUCCGUGCCAGCAGCCGCGGUAAUAC
rnacentral:rRNA from 1 species